rnacentral:rRNA from 1 species
GAUGAACGCUGGCGGCGUGCCUAAUACAUGCAAGUCGAGCGAACAGAUGAGGAGCUUGCUCCUCUGACGUUAGCGGCGGACGGGUGAGUAACACGUGGAUAACCUACCUAUAAGACUGGGAUAACUUCGGGAAACCGGAGCUAAUACCGGAUAAUAUAUUGAACCGCAUGGUUCAAUAGUGAAAGACGGUUUUGCUGUCACUUAUAGAUGGAUCCGCGCCGCAUUAGCUAGUUGGUAAGGUAACGGCUUACCAAGGCAACGAUGCGUAGCCGACCUGAGAGGGUGAUCGGCGACACUGGAACUGAGACACGGUCCAGACUCCUACGGGAGGCAGCAGUAGGGAAUCGUCCGCAAUGGGCGAAAGCCUGACGGAGCAACGCCGCGUGAGUGAUGAAGGUCUUCGGAGCGUAAAACUCUGUUAUUAGGGAAGAACAAAUGUGUAAGUAACUAUGCACGUCUUGACGGUACCUAAUCAGAAAGCCACGGCUAACUACGUG